GCAGCCGCCACGGGAAUACGUAGGUGGCAAGCGUUGUCCGGAAUUAUUGGGCGUAAAGGGCUCGCAGGCGGUUUCUUAAGUCUGAUGUGAAAGCCCCCGGCUCAACCGGGGAGGGUCAUUGGAAACUGGGAAACUUGAGUGCAGAAGAGGAGAGUGGAAUUCCACGUGUAGCGGUGAAAUGCGUAGAGAUGUGGAGGAACACCAGUGGCGAAGGCGACUCUCUGGUCUGUAACUGACGCUGAGGAGCGAAAGCGUGGGGAGCGAACAGGAUUAGAUACCCGCGUAGUCCCUGUCUCUUAUAC
rnacentral:rRNA from 1 species